rnacentral:rRNA from 1 species
AUGGGAGGCAGCAGUGGGGAAUAUUGCACAAUGGGGGAAACCCUGAUGCAGCGACGCCGCGUGAGUGAAGAAGUAUUUCGGUAUGUAAAGCUCUAUCAGCAAGGAAGAAAAUGACGGUACUUGACUAAGAAGCCCCGGCUAACUACGUGCCAGCAGCCGCGGUAAUACGUAGGGGGCAAGCGUUAUCCGGAUUUACUGGGUGUAAAGGGAGCGUAGACGGCAUAGCAAGUCUGAAGUGAAAUGCAUGGGCUCAACCCAUGAACUGCUUUGGAAACUGUUAAGCUAGAGUGCAGGAGAGGUAAGUGGAAUUCCUAGUGUAGCGGUGAAAUGCGUAGAUAUUAGGAGGAACACCAGAGGCGAAGGCGGCUUACUGGACUGUAACUGACGUUGAGGCUCGAAAGCGUGGGGAGCAAACAGGAUUAGAUACCCUGGUA